rnacentral:misc_RNA from 1 species
AACAUCGCGCACCUGCGGGAACCUGCGGAAGGAUCAUCAUUGAAAAACAUUUUUCCCAAGCCUCUGAGGGGGGGGGGAAUAGGGAAUGUGGGAAGGGAAAAUUUUUCCUUUUCAUUCUUUUCCUCCUUCUUCUUUCUGGCUUGGCAAACAACUUUGAUACCCAAAAAGAGUUUCAUCUUCUUCAUCUUUUAGCUUUCAGCUUGGUUAAUUAAUUAGGCUGCUGGCUAGGGAUGGAGGGGA